GGCUUGCUGGUUUAGUGGUAUGAUUCUCGCUUCGUGUGCGAGAGGUCACGGGUUCGAUUCCCGUGCAAGCCC
rnacentral:tRNA from 1 species